rnacentral:rRNA from 1 species
UACAGAGGGGGCAAGCGUUGUUCGGAAUUACUGGGCGUAAAGGGCGCGUAGGCGGCCCGCUAAGUCGAAACGUGAAAUCCCCGAGCUCAACUCGGGGACUGCGUCCGAUACUGGCGGGCUUGAAUCCGGGAGAGGGAUGCGGAAUUCCAGGUGUAGCGGUGAAAUGCGUAGAUAUCUGGAGGAACACCGGUGGCGAAGGCGGCAUCCUGGACCGACACUGACACUGAGGAGCGAAAGCCAGGGGAGCAAACGGG